CUUGACUUCUCCGAGGUCUCGCUCUCUCCUCCUCCUGCUCGAGCCGCCACCAUGUUCGCCCCGGCGACUCGCCUCGCCACCCAGCGCCUCCUCCAGAUCCGCCGCGCACUCCGGCCCUCCGCUCACCUCGCCUUCCCCACCGCCGCCUCCACCUCGACCUCGAGAUUCUUUUCCUCCGCCUUAAACUACCACAUCGACUCCCCCGACAACAACCCCGCCGUGCCAUGGGAGUUCAAUGCAAGCAAUCAGGAAAAGAUCAAGGAUAUAUUGUCCCACUAUCCUUCCAACUACAAGCAAUCUGCUGUUAUUCCAUUGUUGGAUCUUGCUCAACAGCAACAUGGGGGGUGGCUCCCAGUCUCUGCGAUGGAUGCGGUUG
rnacentral:misc_RNA from 1 species